rnacentral:rRNA from 1 species
AGAGUUUGAUCCUGGCUCAGGACGAACGCUGGCGGCGCGCCUAACACAUGCAAGUCGAACGGAGUUAUAUUGGCAGAAGUUUUCGGACGGACGCGGAUAUAACUUAGUGGCGAACGGGUGAGUAACACGUGAGCAACCUACCCUUCAGAGGGGGACAACAGUUGGAAACGACUGCUAAUACCGCAUAAGACCACGGUGUGGCAUCACACAGAGGUCAAAGGAGAAAUCCGCUGAAGGAUGGGCUCGCGUCCAAUUAGCUAGAUGGUGAGGUAACGGCCCACCAUGGCGACGAUUGGUAGCCGGACUGAGAGGUUGAUCGGCCACAUUGGGACUGAGACACGGCCCAGACUCCUACGGGAGGCAGCAGUGGGGAAUAUUGCACAAUGGAGGAAACUCUGAUGCAGCGACGCCGCGUGAGGGAAGAAGGUCUUCGGAUUGUAAACCUCUGUUGUCAGGGACGAUGAUGACGGUACCUGACGAGGAAGCCACGGCUAACUACGUGCCAGCAGCCGCGGUAAAACGUAGGUGGCAAGCGUUGUCCGGAAUUACUGGGUGUAAAGGGAGCGCAGGCGGGAGAGCAAGUUGGGAGUGAAAUCUGUGGGCUCAACCCACAAAUUGCUUUCAAAACUGUUUUUCUUGAGUGGUGUAGAGGUAGGCGGAAUUCCCGGUGUAGCGGUGGAAUGCGUAGAUAUCGGGAGGAACACCAGUGGCGAAGGCGGCCUACUGGGCACCAACUGACGCUGAGGCUCGAAAGCAUGGGUAGCAAACAGGAUUAGAUACCCUGGUAGUCCAUGCCGUAAACGAUGAUUACUAGGUGUGGGAGGAUUGACCCCUUCCGUGCCGCAGUUAACACAAUAAGUAAUCCACCUGGGGAGUACGACCGCAAGGUUGAAACUCAAAGGAAUUGACGGGGGCCC